rfam:Lepisosteus oculatus unplaced genomic scaffold TNK80, whole genome shotgun sequence.
UUCGUUUUUAUAUUAAAAAAAAAUCUGUUCUUAUUAGUUUAAUAUCCGAUACGUCCCCCAUCGGGGGACCACAUAUUAAACGGAUUUUUGGAACAGGGAGCUGGAUCAGGAGCUUGCUCCAUCCUCUCCACGCAUCGGCCCGGUAUUNNNNNN